AUUCGCUGUUGUAGCUUAAGCCUAAAGCAUAAUACUGAAGAUGUUAUGGAUUUUAGGAAAUCCCAAGAGCA
rnacentral:tRNA from 1 species